UUUCCGUAGGUGAACCUGCGGAAGGAUCAUUAAAGUGUUUCGGAGCCUGGCUCAGGCACCUCAACUCGAGGUGUCGGUGCCAGCGCCCCCACACGUGUUUACUCAACUUGGUUGCCUUGGUGAGCCUGCCCUUGUGGCUGCCGGGGAUGCCUCACGGCGUCCUGGGCUCGUGCUCACCAAUGGAACAUUUGAACUCUUGUGUGAAAAUAGUCAGUCUGAGCAUUAUGCAAAUUAAAUAAAACUUUCAACAACGGAUCUCUUGGUUCCG
rnacentral:misc_RNA from 1 species